rnacentral:rRNA from 1 species
UUAAGUUAUUAAGGGCGCACGGUGGAUGCCUUGGCACUAGAAGCCGAUGAAGGACGUUACUAACGACGAUAUGCUUUGGGGAGCUGUAAGUAAGCUUUGAUCCAGAGAUUUCCGAAUGGGGAAACCCAGCAUGAGUUAUGUCAUGUUAUCGAUAUGUGAAUACAUAGCAUAUCAGAAGGCACACCCGGAGAACUGAAACAUCUUAGUACCCGGAGGAAGAGAAAGAAAAUUCGAUUCCCUUAGUAGCGGCGAGCGAAACGGGAAGAGCCCAAACCAACAAGCUUGCUUGUUGGGGUUGUAGGACACUCUAUACGGAGUUACAAAGGACGACAUUAGACGAAUCAUCUGGAAAGAUGAAUCAAAGAAGGUAAUAAUCCUGUAGUCGAAAAUGUUGUCUCUCUUGAGUGGAUCCUGAGUACGACGGAGCACGUGAAAUUCCGUCGGAAUCUGGGAGGACCAUCUCCUAAGGCUAAAUACUCUCUAGUGACCGAUAGUGAACCAGUACCGUGAGGGAAAGGUGAAAAGCACCCCGGAAGGGGAGUGAAAUAGAACCUGAAACCGUGUGCUUACAAGUAGUCAGAGCCCGUUAAUGGGUGAUGGCGUGCCUUUUGUAGAAUGAACCGGCGAGUUACGAUUUGAUGCAAGGUUAAGCAGUAAAUGUGGAGCCGUAGCGAAAGCGAGUCUGAAUAGGGCGUUUAGUAUUUGGUCGUAGACCCGAAACCAGGUGAUCUACCCUUGGUCAGGUUGAAGUUCAGGUAACACUGAAUGGAGGACCGAACCGACUUACGUUGAAAAGUGAGCGGAUGAACUGAGGGUAGCGGAGAAAUUCCAAUCGAACCUGGAGAUAGCUGGUUCUCUCCGAAAUAGCUUUAGGGCUAGUCUCAAGUGAUGAUUAUUGGAGGUAGAGCACUGUUUGGACGAGGGGCCCCUCUCGGGUUACCGAAUUCAGACAAACUCCGAAUGCCAAUUAAUUUAACUUGGGAGUCAGAACAUGGGUGAUAAGGUCCGUGUUCGAAAGGGAAACAGCCCAGACCACCAGCUAAGGUCCCAAAAUAUAUGUUAAGUGGAAAAGGAUGUGGCGUUGCCCAGACAACUAGGAUGUUGGCUUAGAAGCAGCCAUCAUUUAAAGAGUGCGUAAUAGCUCACUAGUCGAGUGACACUGCGCCGAAAAUGUACCGGGGCUAAACAUAUUACCGAAGCUGUGGAUUGUCCUUUGGACAAUGGUAGGAGAGCGUUCUAAGGGCGUUGAAGCAUGAUCGUAAGGACAUGUGGAGCGCUUAGAAGUGAGAAUGCCGGUGUGAGUAGCGAAAGACGGGUGAGAAUCCCGUCCACCGAUUGACUAAGGUUUCCAGAGGAAGGCUCGUCCGCUCUGGGUUAGUCGGGUCCUAAGCUGAGGCCGACAGGCGUAGGCGAUGGAUAACAGGUUGAUAUUCCUGUACCACCUAUAAUCGUUUUAAUCGAUGGGGGGACGCAGUAGGAUAGGCGAAGCGUGCGAUUGGAUUGCACGUCUAAGCAGUAAGGCUGAGUAUUAGGCAAAUCCGGUACUCGUUAAGGCUGAGCUGUGAUGGGGAGAAGACGUUGUGUCUUCGAGUCGUUGAUUUCACACUGCCGAGAAAAGCCUCUAGAUAGAAAAUAGGUGCCCGUACCGCAAACCGACACAGGUAGUCAAGAUGAGAAUUCUAAGGUGAGCGAGCGAACUCUCGUUAAGGAACUCGGCAAAAUGACCCCGUAACUUCGGGAGAAGGGGUGCUCUUUAGGGUUAACGCCCAGAAGAGCCGCAGUGAAUAGGCCCAAGCGACUGUUUAUCAAAAACACAGGUCUCUGCUAAACCGUAAGGUGAUGUAUAGGGGCUGACGCCUGCCCGGUGCUGGAAGGUUAAGAGGAGUGGUUAGCUUCUGCGAAGCUACGAAUCGAAGCCCCAGUAAACGGCGGCCGUAACUAUAACGGUCCUAAGGUAGCGAAAUUCCUUGUCGGGUAAGUUCCGACCCGCACGAAAGGCGUAACGAUUUGGGCACUGUCUCAACGAGAGACUCGGUGAAAUCAUAGUACCUGUGAAGAUGCAGGUUACCCGCGACAGGACGGAAAGACCCCGUGGAGCUUUACUGUAGCCUGAUAUUGAAAUUCGGCACAGCUUGUACAGGAUAGGUAGGAGCCUUUGAAACGUGAGCGCUAGCUUACGUGGAGGCGCUGGUGGGAUACUACCCUAGCUGUGUUGGCUUUCUAACCUGCACCACUUAUCGUGGUGGGAGACAGUGUCAGGCGGGCAGUUUGACUGGGGCGGUCGCCUCCUAAAAGGUAACGGAGGCGCUCAAAGGUUCCCUCAGAAUGGUUGGAAAUCAUUCAUAGAGUGUAAAGGCAUAAGGGAGCUUGACUGCGAGACCUACAAGUCGAGCAGGGUCGAAAGACGGACUUAGUGAUCCGGUGGUUCCGCAUGGAAGGGCCAUCGCUCAACGGAUAAAAGCUACCCCGGGGAUAACAGGCUUAUCUCCCCCAAGAGUUCACAUCGACGGGGAGGUUUGGCACCUCGAUGUCGGCUCAUCGCAUCCUGGGGCUGUAGUCGGUCCCAAGGGUUGGGCUGUUCGCCCAUUAAAGCGGUACGCGAGCUGGGUUCAGAACGUCGUGAGACAGUUCGGUCCCUAUCCGUCGUGGGCGUAGGAAAUUUGAGAGGAGCUGUCCUUAGUACGAGAGGACCGGGAUGGACAUACCUCUGGUGUACCAGUUGUCGUGCCAACGGCAUAGCUGGGUAGCUAUGUGUGGACGGGAUAAGUGCUGAAAGCAUCUAAGCAUGAAGCCCCCCUCAAGAUGAGAUUUCCCAACUUCGGUUAUAAGAUCCCUCAAAGAUGAUGAGGUUAAUAGGUUCGAGGUGGAAGCAUGGUGACAUGUGGAGCUGACGAAUACUAAUCGAUCGAAGACUUAAUCAA